rnacentral:tRNA from 1 species
GCGUCGUUAGCUCAGCUGGAUAGAGCACGGGCCUUCUAAGCCUGAGGUCGGGGGUUCGAGACCCUCACGACGCG